GAAAUGCGAUAAGUAAUGUGAAUUGCAGAAUUCAGUGAAUCAUCGAAUCUUUGAACGCACCUUGCGCCCCUUGGUAUUCCUUGGAGCAUGCCUGUUUGAGUAUCAUGAAAUCUUCAAAGUAAAUCUUUUGUUAACUCAAUUGGUUUCUACUUUGGUAUUGGAGGUCUUUGCAGCUUCACACCUGCUCCUCUUUGUUCAUUAGCUGGAUCUCAGUGUUAUGCUUGGUUCCACUCGGCGUGAUAAGUUAUCUAUCGCUGAGGACACUGUAAAAGGUGGCCAAGGUAAAUGCAGAUGAACCGCUUCUGAUAGUCCAUUGACUUGGACAAUACUUUUAUGAUCUGAUCUCAGAUCAGGUAGGACUACCCGCUGAACUUAAGC
rnacentral:misc_RNA from 1 species